AAAGUGUUUGCCUCAUUACUAGUCAGUUGUCUCCUUGUCUUUAUCAUCGCCACAUUGGACACGAAAGGUGAAGCAGGUGCUGCCUUCUGGUAGGUUUGACUGUUGGCCACAGUCAAGGAGGUGCAAAGGAACCAAAGAUGAAUUCACAGUAGCUUCCCAUCCAAGUGAUCACAGCUUCUACACUGAGUGUAUUUGACAAGCUGAAUUCAGACACUCAAUUCAAAACAGUGUCAGUUUGUCAAAUACCCCAAGUGCAGAGCUGAAAAGCAACUGAACAUUCUCCAGGGCUGAGCAAGGCUUGGAGAUACAAGCACACAACUGACAAGGCUCCAUUACCUGCAUAUUUAUGUAUAAAUGUGUACGCACAUGCAUAACUCUAGUGUGAAAUAAACAUUCUAUGUUAAUUAGAUGAUGAGUUACAUAGAGUUGGUAUAUUUAAGAUAAGAAGUCUAUUUAAAUUCAGCUUAGCAAAAGAUUGUUAGAUUAAACCAAAAGGUAUGAUAUUUGAUAUGAAGAGAUAAGGUCCAGGUUAAUGACACAUAAAGUGUGCUAAAAUGAAGAAUAAAUAAAAGUUCUAUUUGGGUCAUUAAUCCAGCACCCACCUGCCUGUAUGAUUAGCACACAUAUUGAUAACUUCUGGUGCACCCACUGUGACCACAUUGGAUCUGCAUCUUUCCAUUGACUGGCACAAAUGGAUUGGGUAGUUCCUGGCUCUCCCGGUUUGGGAGAAAACGCUUCAUAAUAGUCACCAAUUAUUCAUCACAUACCUGUUGCUAUUAGCACUGCCAUUGAGAAUUUGCCAGGAAAUGAGGAAGGCAAGUAAAAAGAUGUUUAUCUGAGUUACCAUAUUAAAAAGCCUAUGUUUUUCCAUUGUAGAAUCAAAAAUAUAGAAUAUCUAAAAUUUUAAAUAUAUUCGAGGUUUUGUCUCCACAGCAAUAUCUGAAAUGUAAUUGCAUUAAUUACUCUUUGCAUGAUGUUAAUAAAGUUGCAUUGAAUACUUCUGA